rnacentral:rRNA from 1 species
UACGUAGGUGACCAGCGUUGUCCGGAUUUACUGGGCGUAAAGAGCGCGCAGGCGGUCGUUCAAGUCGCGUGUGAAAGCCCCCGGCUCAACUGGGGAGGGUCAUUCGAUACUGAUCGACUGGAAGGCAGGAGAGGGAAGCGGAAUUCCCGGUGUAGUGGUGAAAUGCGUAGAUAUCGGGAGGAACACCAGUGGCGAAGGCGGCUUCCUGGCCUGUUCUUGACGCUGAGGCGCGAAAGCUAGGGGAGCAAACGGG